CUUAACUUACAUAUAUUAUACUUAUAAAAUAUAGAAACAUUUACAUAAAAGCAGAAUAUUGGAAGUGGCUGAUCAUAAUGGAAAGCUUCUUACAAUUGCGAAAAGUUGUGUUUUGUAAUUUUAUAUAACAUAAUUAUUUAAUGUAUUAUGUUUUCAGAAAAAAAAAAAAAAAAGAGAAAGAAUAUCAUUUUGGAAGAAGAUGCAACAUCUAUUUUGAAGCGCCUCGCAUCAGACAAAGAAGAAUGCUUGUUAAUCAGACCUUAUAUAGUCGAUCGACUAUUCUAAGCAAAAAAUUUCAUGCACUGCAGGAUCAGCAGGAUUAGAAGGGAAGCCAAUAAUGUUGCUCAUCAGAUGGUGAAAGCAGGUUUCAACAGCGCAAAUAUCCAGUUUUGGGUUGAGGAAGUACCUGAUCGGGUGGUACCUGGGGUUGAAGAGGACAGGAAUUGGAUGGAUCAACCGGGCUGACUUUGAACAGUGAGAAACUGGAAGAUGGGAGAUGAUAGAUCUCACCCAUAACAUGUUCGCAUGUCGUGUCUCAGGUGCUUUACGAUCUCUAAAAUGCUUUCAGAUGAAAGGGAAAGAGAUUUCGAGGGUUUAGCUGAAUGGCGUUAGUAUUCCAGGUUUGAUGUGAGAGUCUUUGGGAAAGGGGGCCUCUCAAGUCUCAAUGCUUUACGAUCUCUAAAAUGCUUUCAGAUGAAAGGGAAAGAGAUUUCG
rnacentral:lncRNA from 1 species